AAUGGUGAUUAUAGCGUAGGUGAGCACCUCUUCCCAUUCCGAACAGAGUAGUUAAGCCCUACAGCGCCGAUGGUACUGCAGUAAAAUGUGGAAGAGUAGGUCGUUGCCAGUC
rnacentral:rRNA from 1 species